GACGAACGCUGGCGGCGUGCCUAAUACGUGCAAGUAGAACGCUGAAGGAGGAGCUUGCUUCUCUGGAUGAGUUGCGAACGGGUGAGUAACGCGUAGGUAACCUGCCUGGUAGCGGGGGAUAACUAUUGGAAACGAUAGCUAAUACCGCAUAAGAGUAGAUGUUGCAUGACAUUUGCUUAAAAGGUGCAAUUGCAUCACUACCAGAUGGACCUGCGUUGUAUUAGCUAGUUGGUGGGGUAACGGCUCACCAAGGCGACGAUACAUAGCCGACCUGAGAGGGUGAUCGGCCACACUGGGACUGAGACACGGCCCAGACUCCUACGGGAGGCAGCAGUAGGGAAUCUUCGGCAAUGGACGGAAGUCUGACCGAGCAACGCCGCGUGAGUGAAGAAGGUUUUCGGAUCGUAAAGCUCUGUUGUAAGAGAAGAACGAGUGUGAGAGUGGAAAGUUCACACUGUGACGGUAUCUUACCAGAAAGGGACGGCUAACUACGUG
rnacentral:rRNA from 1 species